AGUGAACGCUGGCGGUAGGCCUAACACAUGCAAGUCGAACGGCAGCACAGUAAGAGCUUGCUCUUACGGGUGGCGAGUGGCGGACGGGUGAGGAAUACAUCGGAAUCUACUUUUUCGUGGGGGAUAACGUAGGGAAACUUACGCUAAUACCGCAUACGACCUACGGGGGAAAGCAGGGGAUCUUCGGACCUUGCGCGAUUGAAUGAGCCGAUGUCGGAUUAGCUAGUUGGCGGGGUAAAGGCACACCAAGGCGACGAUCCGUAGCUGGUCUGAGAGGAUGAACAGCCACACUGGAACUGAGACACGGUCCAGACUCCUACGGGAGGCAGCAGUGGGGAAUAUUGGACAAUGGGCGAAAGCCUGAUACAGCCAUACCGCGUGGGUGAAGAAGGCCUUCGGGUUGUAAAGCCCUUUUGUUGGGAAAGAAAAGCAGCAGGUUAAUACCCCGCUGUUCUGACGGUACCCAAAGAAUAAGCACCGGCUAACUUCGUG
rnacentral:rRNA from 1 species